rnacentral:tRNA from 1 species
GGGCGGUUAGCUCAGUUGGUAGAGCGUCUCUUUUACACGGAGAGGGUCGGGGGUUCGAGUCCCUCACCGCCCACCA